rnacentral:rRNA from 1 species
GACGAACGCUGGCGGCGUGCCUAAUACAUGCAAGUCGAACGCUGAAGGAGGAGCUUGCUUCUCUGGAUGAGUUGCGAACGGGUGAGUAACGCGUAGGUAACCUGCCUGGUAGCGGGGGAUAACUAUUGGAAACGAUAGCUAAUACCGCAUAAUAGCAGUUGUUGCAUGACAACUGUUUGAAAGGUGCAAUUGCACCACUACCAGAUGGACCUGCGUUGUAUUAGCUAGUUGGUGGGGUAACGGCUCACCAAGGCGACGAUACAUAGCCGACCUGAGAGGGUGGUCGGCCCCACUGGGACUGAGACAAGGCCCAGGAUCCUACGGGGAGCAGCAGUAGGGGAUCUUCGGACAUGGACGGAAGUCUGACCGAGCAACGCCGCGUGAGUGAAGAAGGUUUUCGGGUCGUAAAGCUCUGUUGUAAGGGAAGAACGAGUGUGAGAGUGGAAAGUUCACACUGUGACGGUAGCUUACCAGAAAGGGAUGGCUAACUACGUG